GGCGGGUUGGCAGAGUGGCUAUGCAGCGGAUUGCAAAUCCGUGGACCUCGGUUCGACUCCGGGACCCGCCU
rfam:Idiomarina planktonica strain CGMCC 1.12458 genome assembly, contig: Ga0171582_11